GUGGGGAAUAUUGGACAAUGGGCGCAAGCCUGAUCCAGCCAUGCCGCGUGAGUGAUGAAGGCCCUAGGGUUGUAAAGCUCUUUCACCGAUGAAGAUAAUGACGGUAGUCGGAGAAGAAGCCCCGGCUAACUUCGUGCCAGCAGCCGCGGUAAUACGAAGGGGGCUAGCGUUGUUCGGAAUUACUGGGCGUAAAGCGCACGUAGGAGGAUAUUUAAGUCAGGGGUGAAAUCCCAGAGCUCAACUCUGGAACUGCCUUUGAUACUGGGUAUCUCGAGUAUGGAAGAGGUGAGUGGAGAUCCGAGUGUAGAGGUGAAAUUCGUAGAUAUUCGGAGGAACACCAGUGGCGAAGGCGGCUCACUGGUCCAUUACUGACGCUGAGGUGCGAAAGCGUGGGGAGCAAACAGGAUUAGAAACCCUGGUAGUCC
rnacentral:rRNA from 1 species